UACGUAGGGUGCGAGCGUUGUCCGGAAUUACUGGGCGUAAAGAGCUCGUAGGCGGUUUGUCGCGUUGAAUGUGAAAUUCCGGGGCUUAACUCCGGGCGUGCAGGCGAAACGGGCAUAACUUGAGUACUGUAGGGGAGACUGGAAUUCCUGGUGUAGCGGUGAAAUGCGCAGAGAUAUGGAGGAACACCUGUGGCGAAGGCUACUUUCUGGACAGAGACUGACGCUGAUGUGC
rnacentral:rRNA from 1 species